GGGUAAAAGUCGUAACAAGGUUUCCGUAGGUGAACCUGCGGAAGGAUCAUUAUCGUAUAACCGAGGUGCGAGGGCUGUCGCUGACCCGAAAGGUCGUGCACGCCCGAGUGCCCUCACACACAUCCAUCUCACCCCUAUGUGCACCACCGCGUGGGUCCCCCUUUGGCUUGUUCGGAGGGGGGCUUACGUUUUCACACAAACUUUGUAUGCAGUGUAGAAUGUAUUUUUUGUUUUUGCGAUCACGCAAUCAAUACAACUUUCAACAACGGAUCUCUUGGCUCUC
rnacentral:misc_RNA from 1 species